UCCGUAGGGGGCAAACGUUAUCCGGAAUUACUGGGUGUAAAGGGUGAGUAGGCGGUUAAAUAAGCCAUAUGUGAAAGUCUGUAGCUCAACUAUAGAAUUGCAUAAGGAACUGUGUAACUAGAGUGCAGGAGAGGUAAGUGGAAUUCCUAGUGUAGCGGUGAAAUGCGUAGAUAUUAGGAGGAACACCAGUGGCGAAGGCGACUUACUGGACUGAAACUGACGCUGAGACACGAAAGCGUGGGGAGAAAACAGG
rnacentral:rRNA from 1 species